GGGGAUGUGGCUCAGCGGUACAGCACUCGCCUCACAUGUGAGAGGCACUGGGUUCGAUCCUCAGCAUCACAU
rnacentral:tRNA from 1 species